GACGAACGCUGGCGGCGUGCCUAAUACAUGCAAGUCGAACGAAGCUGUUUUAACUGGUGCUUGCACCGACUUAAACAACUGAGUGGCGAACGGGUGAGUAACACGUGGGUAACCUGCCCCAAAGCGGGGGAUAACAUUUGGAAACAGAUGCUAAUACCGCAUAACCACAGAAACCACAUGGUUUCUGUGUCAAAGAUGGUUUCGGCUAUCACUUUGGGAUGGACCCGCGGCGUAUUAGCUAGUUGGUAAGGUAAUGGCUUACCAAGGCAAUGAUUCGUAGCCGAAAUGAGAGGUUGCUCGGCCACAUUGGGACUGAGACACGGCCCAAACACCUACGGGAGGCAGCAGUAGGGAAUCUUCCACAAUGGACGAAAGUCUGAUGGAGCAACGCCGCGUGAGUGAAGAAGGUUUUCGGAUCGUAAAACUCUGUUGUCAGAGAAGAACGUGUGCGAGAGUAACUGUUCGUGCAGUGACGGUAUCUGGCCAGAAAGCCACGGCUAACUACGUGCCAGCCGCCGCCGUAA
rnacentral:rRNA from 1 species